rnacentral:rRNA from 1 species
UACGAAGGGGGCUAGCGUUGUUCGGAAUUACUGGGCGUAAAGCGCACGUAGGCGGACUUUUAAGUCAGGUGUGAAAUCCCGGGGCUCAACCUCGGAACUGCAUUUGAAACUGGGAGUCUUGAGACCAGGAGAGGUUAGCGGAAUACCGAGUGUAGAGGUGAAAUUCGUAGAUAUUCGGUGGAACACCAGUGGCGAAGGCGGCUAACUGGACUGGUACCGACGCUGAGGUGCGAAAGUGUGGGGAGCAAACAGG